UGCAAGUCGAACGGUAACAGGCCUUCGGGUGCUGACGAGUGGCGGACGGGUGAGUAACGCGUAGGAAUCUGCCUUAUAGUGGGGGACAACGUGGGGAAACCCACGCUAAUACCGCAUACGCCCUACGGGGGAAAGCGGGGGAUCUUCGGACCUCGCGCUAUGAGAUGAGCCUGCGUUAGAUUAGCUAGUUGGUAGGGUAAAGGCCUACCAAGGCGACGAUCUAUAGCUGGUCUGAGAGGACGAUCAGCCACACUGGGACUGAGACACGGCCCAGACUCCUACGGGAGGCAGCAGUGGGGAAUAUUGGACAAUGGGCGCAAGCCUGAUCCAGCAAUACCGCGUGUGUGAAGAAGGCCUUCGGGUUGUAAAGCACUUUCAAUUGGGAGGAAAACCUACCGGUCAAUACCCGGUAGCUUGACAUUACCUUUAGAAGAAGCACCGGCUAACUCCGUGCCAGCAGCCGCGGUAAUACGGAGGGUGCAAGCGUUAAUCGGAAUUACUGGGCGUAAAGCGUGCGUAGGCGGUUCGUUAAGUCAGAUGUGAAAGCCCCGGGCUCAACCUGGGAACUGCAUUUGAAACUGGCGAACUAGAGUUGAGUAGAGGGGAGUGGAAUUUCAGGUGUAGCGGUGAAAUGCGUAGAUAUCUGAAGGAACACCAGUGGCGAAGGCGACUCCCUGGACUCAAACUGACGCUGAGGUACGAAAGCGUGGGUAGCAAACAGGAUUAGAUACCCUGGUAGUCCACGCCGUAACGAUGUCAACUAGCCGUUGGUCCUAUUUACAGGAUUAGUGGCGCAGCUAACGCAUUAAGUUGACCGCCUGGGGAGUACGGCCGCAAGGUUAAAACUCAAAUGAAUUGACGGGGGCCCGCACAAGCGGUGGA
rnacentral:rRNA from 1 species